rnacentral:rRNA from 1 species
CUUUCCCUCUUUCUUCCUGCUUUACACAUGCAAGUCGAGCGGCAGCGCGGCCUUCGGGCUGGCGGCGAGCGGCGAACGGGUGAGUAAUGCAUCGGAACAUGCCCAGUCGUGGGGGAUAACACUUCGAAAGAAGUGCUAAUACCGCAUACGUCCUGAGGGGGAAAGCGGGGGAUCGCAAGACCUCGCGCGAUUGGAGUGGCCGAUGUCAGAUUAGCUAGUUGGUGGGGUAAAGGCCUACCAAGGCGACGAUCUGUAGCUGGUCUGAGAGGAUGAUCAGCCACACUGGGACUGAGACACGGCCCAGACUCCUACGGGAGGCAGCAGUGGGGAAUUUUGGACAAUGGGGGCAACCCUGAUCCAGCCAUUCCGCGUGAGUGAAGAAGGCCUUCGGGUUGUAAAGCUCUUUCGGCAGGAACGAAACGGUGGGCUCUAACAUAGUCCGCUAAUGACGGUACCUGAAGAAGAAGCACCGGCUAACUACGUG